AACCCUGACGCAGCAACGCCGCGUGGGUGAUGAAGGUCUUCGGAUUGUAAAGCCCUGUUUUCUAGGACGAUAAUGACGGUACUAGAGGAGGAAGCCACGGCUAACUACGUGCCAGCAGCCGCGGUAAUACGUAGGUGGCGAGCGUUGUCCGGAUUUACUGGGCGUAAAGGGUGCGUAGGCGGAUGUUUAAGUGGGAUGUGAAAUCCCCGGGCUUAACCUGGGGGCUGCAUUCCAAACUGGAUAUCUAGAGUGCAGGAGAGGAAAGCGGAAUUCCUAGUGUAGCGGUGAAAUGCGUAGAGAUUAGGAAGAACACCAGUGGCGAAGGCGGCUUUCUGGACUGUAACUGACGCUGAGGCACGAAAGCGUGGGUAGCAAACAGGAUUAGAUACCCUGGUAGUCCACGCCGUAAACGAUGGAUACUAGGUGUAGGGGGUAUCAACUCCCCCUGUGCCGCAGUUAACACAAUAAGUAUCCCGCCUGGGGAGUACGGUCGCAAGAUUAAAACUCAAAGGAAUUGACGGGGGCCCGCACAAGCAGCGGAGCAUGUGGUUUAAUUCGAAGCAACGCGAAGAACCUUACCUGGACUUGACAUCCCUUGCAUAGCCUAGAGAUAGGUGAAGCCCUUCGGGGCAAGGAGACAGGUGGUGCAUGGUUGUCGUCAGCUC
rnacentral:rRNA from 1 species